rnacentral:rRNA from 1 species
AUGCGGCGCUCGACGGCCGACAACCCCUUUCCUCCCAUCACGCUGAUCAAGUCGGUGAAGAUGUGGCAGCGCUCGUACUUCUACGUGAAGAACCUCGCCUCCGACGGCGACUGGGUCAACUUGCCGCCUUACAACGCCGCUCCCCUGACUGGGCGGCUCCCCAGCUGGUCCCACCGAGUCAAGACGCUGACUCCCGCCGGAGCCGCCGCCGUGGCGCGAUUCCGAGUCAUGACGCAGUCGGAGGGACUCGUUGGGGCCGACUUGCUGGCCGCCUUCGUGGCGCGCCGAGUUCUCCCGCUCCAAGGCCGGCCUCACCUGAUCUGUCAGAUGAGCGGCCUCCGAGACCCAAGUCGGAUGAGCACCAAGGAGAUGCCCCGCAAGGAGGUGGCGAACAUGGUAAAUUAUAUCGCGCACUGCGAGUAUGAGGAGGACUGGCAGUUCGGCAAGGAGCCGUACUCACGCGACAACCCUCCACCAGUGCCUGCCGCCGGCGCCACGAGGCAGCCCCGCGAGUACGUUCCCGAUCGCGCAGAGAGCGACGUCGACGACCCCGACUUGGGGGCGGCGGCGAUGGAAGCCGAUGCCGAAGGCGGGGGAGGAGGGGCAGAAGGCGACUUCAGGCCCUCGGCCACCUUCGCCGACUGGCCUGAUGACGAUGCCGAAUGCGAAGUCGCUCCGCGCCACCAGCUGAGGAUCGGCCUGUCGGGCGCCGGCUCCUCCGCCGGCCAAGGCGGCGCGAAGAGGCGUCACACCGGGUCGAGUGCGCCCGGCGGCAAACUGAAAAAGUUCAAGGGGGGCGGCCGCCGCGACCAGACGAGAGGAGGCGGCCGCGAAGGCCAACCGCUUUCGAAGGGAAGUGAGAAAGCCGCCGCUAGUAUCCGCGUAAGUCUUUACGCUCUUUUAUUUUCUUCGUUGAAUCUUGUACGAGUCUUCGUUUAUAUACUCCCUCCAUUCUUCUUCAGGGCCCCUCUUUCCCUUGAGAGAGUCGCCGUCCCCUCCGUCAUGGGGUCGGCAGAGACGUCCGCCAAUACUCGGCGGCCCGACCCUGCCGCCGACCUCCGGGAGGCGACUGAGCGGAAUGCGCGGGAGAAGCGCGAGGAGGAGGAGGCCGUGCGUUUGGAGAAGGCGGAGGCCGACAGGGCGGCCGCCUCCGCCCAGAAAAAGCUGGAUGAUGCCGAAGCCGUCCUUGCGGCGAGACGGCGCGCCGAGGAGGCCGCGCAUCGCCGAUCGGCGAUGCUUGUCCCCCCACUAUCGUCUGCACCGCCGCCUCCAGAGUUCACGGGGCAGACCGGGGGAGCCGGCACCGAGAACCCCGUCGCGGAGAAGGAGAGUGGCGAGGCCUCCAUGUCGGACGCUCUCGUGCUGCCGCCGCCGCCUCCGCUGCCGUCUGGGAGACCGCACGGCAAACAGCCGGUGGAUCCGUCGGAGCCGUGGGCCAUGGACGAGGCCGAAGCGCGGCUGCUUCUCCAAGUCGCCUCGCCGGUGCGUCACCGUCUCGAGAGGGCGACCUCGGCGCCACGACCUCGGGAGAUCGGCGCUGCCAGCUCGGCAGCUCUAGACGCCGAGGCCACAAGCGCCGCGCCCACCGGGUGGGUGCACGGAGGCGGCACCGGGCCGCUAAAUCAAUUGCUCCUGGAAGUCCAGGCGAAGUUGCGGGCCGAAGGCGACGCCCUUCAGGCCUGCACCAGAGCGCACCUGGCCGCGCGAACGGCCGUCCGAGAGUAUCACAACCUCCGCGCCACUGCCUUCAAUCGCAAUGUUGAGGAGUUGAGCAAGCGGGCUGCCGACUUGUCGGAAAGCCGGAGAGCCAACGCCGCUCUUCAGGAGCAGCUGGGCGAGGCCAAUACCGUCCGUCGCGCCAAGGAGGAGGAGUGUGAUAGGCUCGCCACGGAGCGCGACCUGCUGGCGGCGCAGCUGGCCGAGCAGAAGGAGAGCUGA